GCCCCCAUCGUCUAGAGGCCUAGGACACCGCCCUUUCACGGCGACGGCACCGGUUCGAAUCCGGUUGGGGGUA
rnacentral:tRNA from 1 species